UACGGGGGGCAAGCGUUGUUCGGAAUUACUGGGCGUAAAGGCGCGUAGGCGGUUGUUAAGUUGGAUGUGAAACUCUGGCUUAACCCAGAGCCUGCAUCCAAAACUGGCAGGCUAGAGUUUGGAGGGAAGCGGAAGUUCCUGUGAGCAGUGAAAUGCGUAGAUAUCAGGAGGAACACCGGUGCGAAGGCGCUCCUGGACAAAACUGACGCUGAGGCGCGAAAGCUAGGGAGCAAACAGG
rnacentral:rRNA from 1 species